rnacentral:piRNA from 1 species
UGAUCCGUCAGGCUCUGCGCUUCUCUCUC